CUUGCAGCGGGCCUCGGCCUCGGGCUCGGCCCGCCGGCACUGGGGAAAAAAACAAUUAAAUCCGUGCUUUGAUGGGCUACCGGCAAACCAUGUGAGAGUAAAAGGGAAAGGAUCGCCAGUGUAAAACAAACAAACAAACAAAAAAACCACAAACAAACAAGCAACCCCCCCCCAUCUCCUUCACUGAUACACAUUUUGAACUACAAACAGCUAAUCUUGACACCGUUUCCCAGUAAACUAACUGUGACAAAAAAGGUUUUUUUUAGCAUUUUGAACAGCUCAGCUGGAAGCAGGGAAAUUAGCAUGAAGUGAAAUAUUUGUGGGAGCUUAAUACAGGUAAAAUCUUGGUUUUUUCCCUGACAUAGGACACUGGGGCAAAUUAAGCAUUUCUAAUUGCACAGUCUAAAACAGAAUAGCACACAGCAAGAAAUGGUGACCAAAACAGUGAUGACCAAACUAGAAGAAAGAGAGACUUGCUGUGAACAUGAGCUACUUGUGACAAAGGAAUCCAAUGCCUUUCACCAGGCUGCACAUGUGUGAACUAGUGAGACCACAGGAAUGGAAAAGUGGAGUCCUGAAAUAUGCCUUGCUCCAGAAAGCUGAGAGAUAAGUUUGCUGGGAACCAGGAAGCCAUUUUUGUGAGUGAAAAAUCACACUGACCUCACCUGCAAAUUCUGUGCACAGAAGACUUUAAAACCAUUCCAGUGGCUACAGAAUGAAUCACAAUACAGCAGUUCCUUGGAAGUCAAUGGAAUAAUAUUCAUUUGUCCUCUUUUGACUGAGAAUAUGACUGGAUAAAAUUUUAGUCAGAGCUGAAGAAUAAACUAGAAACCUUGAAUGUUGUUAAUCCAGCAUCUAAAGGGCUUAUUCUUCACAGGUCUCAGCCUGACUGCCAACUGCAGAUUACCCUCUGUCCCAACUUCAGGGACAGUCAAGAUCAACUGAGUCCAGAAUGGGACAAAAAGCCAUCACUUUUGCAGAAUCCAGCCCAUCACAGGAUGCAAGAAGCAAGUUGUCCCUCUGACACAUGUGAGGGGAUAAAGUACCAACAGAUCAGCACAACGAAUUGGUGCCUUCAAUAUUCACAUAAGCAACAUUUGAGAGAC